UUGUCAUGGCAAAUGCCGUCAAACAGACAUGAUGGUGUGGGCCGGUUGGAGUUUGUGCUUUCUAUGAGGCUAUCUGACCGAGGGAGAAAGACAACUUGGGGAACUCCGCCCAGCCAUUCUCAAUCUUCAAACCGUACUAUGUGACAGAGGCUGGAAUUCAUUGCCCUCAUCAUCCUUGGGAACGGGGUAAUGAGAUGUCUUCUUGAACCACUGUAGUCCAUUUGGUGAAGAGAUUUCCACAGUGCUGUUAGGUUACUGACAGAAUAUUUGUGAAAUGCUUGAAGAAGAGACUGUGGAAAAGAACGAUUCCACUUCACUGGAAAAUGAAACCUCUAUGCUGCAAACCCCAACACCACAAAAUUCAGUUUCAGAACUGACGAAGGAUGAAUGUGACCUGUAUGAAAAUGAAAAUGAUCAGGCUAUGGCUUCAGAACCAUUUAUGUACAGACAUUGGCCAACAUCAGGAAGAACACAGGUAAAAAGACAUUAGUAUAGUCAACUCA